UUUCUCAAAUCUUUGUUCGCUUUGUCCUCGUAUAUUCAUAUCUUCACCAAAUCCAAACCCUAGGAGAGUUAUCACAGUUGACAGUCUUUCACUUGCCCCUAAUAGGAGUAGAAACGGAGGAAGUAGACAACGUAAUUUAAGGUUUUCAUCAAAUUCUGGCCCUUCAUCUAGAACCAGAGGUUCAAUUUUACAUAGAUCUUCAUCUAGAGGUAAGGAAUCCUCUGAGCCUCUUCGUGAACCUCUAGAAGAGGAGAUAGUUCCUGCAGAAUUAUCUUUUUAUAAUGAUAGAGAGUCUCUUAGAAAUCAAGUAUCUUCUUUAGAUCAUUCUGAUAUUUAUCCCAUUCAAAUCACUGAAGGAUUGAUUUCUUUAGUUCGUAAAGACUGCCAUUGGGAUUACCACUUUCCUAUCAUUAUUCCCAAUCUGAAUCAAAGAAUUACCUCCUACUUAACUGGAUUUUCUUUUGUCUAUAAGUACCCUUUUACUUUAGGAUUCAAACAUGUUAUUGAUCAUGUUAUUCCAGAGUUUUGUCGUUUCUUUGAUGUUUACUUAGGUCAAACUGGCCCAAUAAUAUGGAGGGUUGUUGCCUGUUUGAGGCAUUUGACCAACAUAGUCGGUGUGCCUUUUACUUUCCCGCAUUUGGUUAACCUUUACUCUCCUAGACUCUUUUGCUAUGGUAUUUUCACACUAGUAGCCAAUAGCAAAAGAGUUUCAGUUAGUCCUGAAGAUGACAAAGACAGUGGCUGGUAUGCCAGGUUUGUUGUUGCCCCCACUGUUGGUUUAGUGGGCGAUGGGAACGUUUCCUUCCCUGAGAAAUAAAAUUUUGCACAUGAGUAUCUAACUCUCUCUUACCUUUUUCUUUAAUUUUGUUAAUUUUUCUAAUUUUACUUUCUUUUCCAGCAAAUAUGUGAGUUAUGGAAGAUAUUCCCAAUUUCCAUGAUUGGGCAGGAAAGCUUGUGACUACAGCUCCAAUGGAGGGUAGAUCUUGGAAAACCAUUUUCCAACGAUUUGGUUGGAAAGUAAAAACUCAUGG
rnacentral:lncRNA from 1 species